rnacentral:misc_RNA from 1 species
UAAAAUCAAUCCCCUCGGGUUUCUUGACCCGUGCGUGGACUUGGACUUGGGUGUCUGCCGGUCACACGGCUCGCCUUAAAGAUGUCAGUGGGACAGGCCGCCUACGGCUUGACGUAAUAAGUUUCGUCAGACCCGGCGGACUGGCCCGCUCAUAACCCCAUCCCUGCCUCACGGCUUGGACCUUUAU